GUCCUAUUACUUGGUGCUACUGGAUAGCUGCCUAGGGGUUCUGGCUUGAUGGCCCUGUGCCAUGGGCUAGGCACUGCCGGGCCUGCUUUGUGGCUACCCUCAACUCCAAGCUUGGCUUCCCCUGGGGACCAGUCCCAUUCUUACUCAUAUGUGUUUUAGGAGCACAAGUGAGCAGUGUUUUGUAGUUUACCAGCUGUAUGGGAACUGUUGAAUCAUGGCCUGAGACUGAUUGAUCAGCUGAGGCAAGCACUGAGUCAGCUGCAGGAGCACAGCUGAAGGCAAUUCACCUGUGUGACCAGAAGGGGUAGAGCCUGGCUCCACCUCUCCUAGAGCCCCUAUUUAAGGGCUGACAGCCACUGAGGAAGGAUCUCUUUCUGGAGAUUGGUCCCUUUAGAGUUUUUCUGCAAGCCUAGAAUAUUGGCAGAUAUGCGUUCAUGAAAUGUUGUACCUGCAGAAGAAAAUCAAAGACUGCCAUCUUGGACCACUCAUGAUGAUGGAUUUCAGUACAG